rnacentral:lncRNA from 1 species
AAGAAAAGGAUCUCCCAUUAAACCUUAUUUGGGAUUGGUUUGUGAAAAUACAGAAUACUGAUUUUUGCUUCCUAUAUAAUCUACGGACUGUUGUAUUCAAGGCAGAAAGCAGUUUUGAUUGUUGAAGCAUCUCACUAAUUGCUGAAGUAUUUUAAGUAAAAGAGCAGGGUACAUCAUGCUUACAUUAAAAGGAAUCUUCGGACUUCAUCCCUGUGAUGAAAUCAGCUACAAGAAAUGAGUUAAUGUUUGACCAGGAUCACACAAGCUGCACAAGGAAACCAUGUGCAAGACCUUCUCUUCCUCCUUAUUUGCUUUACAAGGAACCGCUGCAUCCCAGCUGAAAACGCCUCAGUGGGUGCAAGGUAUGUCUGUGAGGACACGUAUUGUCAGUCCAUGCCUGUAUCCUCUGGGCUGGAGCCAGGAGCAGGGAUUAGAUGAACUCCCAAGCAGACCUGUCUAGCAUGGUAGAG